UUUUGGUUUAAUUGCUUUUAUACUUUUGAUCGUUUUUUUUCGAAGGAGGAUAAAUAAGAAAAAGGCACAUCGAAAUGCCAAUCCCGAACCAUCGACACCAAUAGCAGUAUCCAACACCAACACCAACGGAAUUCCAAAUCCAGAUUACGCAUCAUCAAUUUCAACAUACGUUUUUGGUAGACUUGGCCGUGGCGCAAGCUAAAGGACCAACUUCAUUCUUAUCCGAAACAGCAACAUUUUCAGAUGGCUAUAUAAAAGUAAUGGACUUAUUUAAAUGCUAGUAGGGUAAUAUGUGGUGUCAACAUUGUUCAGAUGGUAUAGUUAUUGUGUUAUGACCUACUUUAAUAUGUCGGCGUACAUCAGUGCAGGUCAGUCACACUACUCAGCUUAUGUCGGUGAAAUUGAAAACAAAGUGUGUGUGUGUGUGUGUAUGUGUGUG